rnacentral:lncRNA from 1 species
AUGAGUGAUCCGUUCCCCUGCGGAUCAUGGCCUUACCACUCGGUCCCCGAUGGCCUGCGGGGGAUUCGGUAUAGCAGCUUACGUUUUUUUGCGCUGCGCGUUCCCGCUGGACACGUGUUAGCUGUAGGAAGUAUGGUUCCGAAAGUGACUUCGGUUCGCCAGUUCAGGCUCAACUCCUCGCUUUACGUUAGCGGACCUACACUACAGGUCGGGCCGGGGCUCUGCGCUCUUUCUUUCUGUGUGGGACGAUGUCGGGGAGAGAAGGGAAUGCGUCGAGGCGGCGAACAACACAACUAG